GACGGAGGAGGCUAGCGUUGUUCGGAAUUACUGGGCGUAAAGCGCGCGCGGGCGGUUAUGCAAGUCAGGGGUGAAAGCCCGAGGCUCAACCUCGGAACGGCCUUUGCGACUGCAUGACUAGAGACCGGGAGAGGAGAGUGGAAUUCCCAGUGUAGAGGUGAAAUUCGUAGAUAUUGGGAAGAACACCAGUGGCGAAGGCGGCUCUCUGGCCCGGACCUGACGCUGAGGAGCGAAAGCCAGGGGAGCAAACGGG
rnacentral:rRNA from 1 species